CGCGUAGGUGGUUUGUUAAGCGAGAUGUGAAAGCCCCGGGCUUAACCUGGGAACGGCAUUUCGAACUGGCAGGCUAGAGUGUGGUAGAGGGUAGUGGAAUUUCCUGUGUAGCGGUGAAAUGCGUAGAUAUAGGAAGGAACACCAGUGGCGAAGGCGGCUACCUGGACCAACACUGACACUGAGGCGCGAAAGCGAGGGGAGCAAACA
rnacentral:rRNA from 1 species